rnacentral:rRNA from 1 species
GACGAACCGUGCGAACGUUAUUCGGAAUCACUGGGCUUAAAGCGCGUGUAGGCGGCCCGGCGCGUCGAAUGCUGAAAUCCCCCGGCUCAACCGGGGAAGUGGCAUCGAAACGGCCGGGCUGGAGGGGGGUAGGGGGCGCCGGAACUUCCGGUGGAGCGGUGAAAUGCGUUGAGAUCGGAAGGAACGCCCGUGGCGAAAGCGGGCGCCUGGACCCCACCUGACGCUGAGACGCGAAAGCCAGGGGAGCGAACGGG